rnacentral:rRNA from 1 species
CCUACGGGAGGCAGCAGUGAGGAAUAUUGGUCAAUGGACGAGAGUCUGAACCAGCCAAGUAGCGUGAAGGAUGACUGCCCUAUGGGUUGUAAACUUCUUUUAUAAAGGAAUAAAACGAGGCACGUGUGCCUUUUUGCAUGUACUUUAUGAAUAAGGAUCGGCUAACUCCGUGCCAGCAGCCGCGGUAAUACGGAGGAUCCGAGUGUUAUCCGGAUUUAUUGGGUUUAAAGGGAGCGUAGAUGGGUUGUUAAGUCAGUUGUGAAAGGUUGCGGCUCAACCGUAAAAUUGCAAUUGAUACUGGCAGUCUUGAGUACAGUUGAGGUAGGCGGAAUUCGUGGUGUAGCGGUGAAAUGCUUAGAUAUCACGAAGAACCCCGAUUGCGAAGGCAGCUUACUAAACUGUGACUGACAUUGAUGCUCGAAAGUGUGGGUAUCAAACAGGAUUAGAUACCCGAGUAGUC